rnacentral:rRNA from 1 species
GCGGCAUGCUUUACACAUGCAAGUCGAACGGCAGCACGGGCUUCGGCCUGGUGGCGAGUGGCGAACGGGUGAGUAAUAUAUCGGAACGUACCCAGAAGUGGGGGAUAACGUAGCGAAAGUUACGCUAAUACCGCAUACGAUCUACGGAUGAAAGUGGGGGACCUUCGGGCCUCAUGCUUGUGGAGCGGCCGAUAUCUGAUUAGCUAGUAGGUAGGGUAAAGGCCUACCUAGGCGACGAUCAGUAGCUGGUCUGAGAGGACGACCAGCCACACUGGGACUGAGACACGGCCCAGACUCCUACGGGAGGCAGCAGUGGGGAAUUUUGGACAAUGGGCGCAAGCCUGAUCCAGCAAUGCCGCGUGAGUGAAGAAGGCCUUCGGGUUGUAAAGCUCUUUUGUCAGGGAAGAAACGGCUGAGGUUAAUACCUUCGGCUAAUGACGGUACCUGAAGAAUAAGCACCGGCUAACUACGUGCCAGCAGCCGCGGUAAUACGUAGGGUGCAAGCGUUAAUCGGAAUUACUGGGCGUAAAGCGUGCGCAGGCGGUUUUGUAAGUCUGACGUGAAAUCCCCGGGCUCAACCUGGGAAUUGCGUUGGAGACUGCAAGGCUGGAGUCUGGCAGAGGGGGGUAGAAUUCCACGUGUAGCAGUGAAAUGCGUAGAGAUGUGGAGGAACACCGAUGGCGAAGGCAGCCCCCUGGGUCAAGACUGACGCUCAUGCACGAAAGCGUGGGGAGCAAACAGGAUUAGAUACCCUGGUAGUCCACGCCCUAAACGAUGUCUACUAGUUGUCGGGUUUUAAUUAACUUGGUAACGCAGCUAACGCGUGAAGUAGACCGCCUGGGGAGUACGGUCGCAAGAUUAAAACUCAAAGGAAUUGACGGGGACCCGCACAAGCGGUGGAUGAUGUGGAUUAAUUCGAUGCAACGCGAAAAACCUUACCUACCCUUGACAUGGAAGGAAUCCCGAAGAGAUUUGGGAGUGCCCGAA